rnacentral:rRNA from 1 species
GGUGGCCUACGGGACGCAGCAGUGGGGGAUAUUGCACAAUGGGGGAAACCCUGAUGCAGCGACGCCGCGUGGGGGAAGAAGCGCCUCGGCGCGUAAAGCCCUGUCAGCAGGGAAGAAAAUGACGGUACCUGAAGAAGAAGCCCCGGCUAACUAAGUGCCAGCAGCCGCGGAAAUACGUCGGGGGCAAGCGUUAUCCGGAUUUACUGGGUGUAAAGGGGGCGCAGACGGCGAUGCAAGCCAGGAGUGAAAGCCCGGGGCUCAACCCCGGGACUGC